rnacentral:rRNA from 1 species
UACGUAGGAUGCAAGCGUUAUCCGGAAUUAUUGGGCGUAAAGCGUACGUAGGCGGUUUACCAAGUCUGGAGUUAAAGACCGAGGCUCAACCUCGGGAGUGCUCUGGAAACUGGUAGGCUGGAGGACGGCAGAGGAAAGUGGAAUUCCCAGUGUAGCGGUGAAAUGCGUAGAUAUUGGGAGGAACACCAGUGGCGAAAGCGACUUUCUGGGCCGUUCCUGACGCUGAGGUACGAAAGCCAGGGGAGCAAACGGG